UCCUGUGUCAGUGUUUGUGCCACACGGUUCUUGUUGUGGGUUUUCACGGUUCUUGUUGUGGGUUUUCACGGUUCUUGUUGUGGGUUUUCACGGUUCUUGUUGUGGGUUUUCACGGUUCUUGUUGUGGGUUUUCACGGUUCUUGUUGUGGGUUUUCACGGUUCUUGUUGUGGGUUUUCACGGUUCUUGUUGUGGGUUUUCACGGUUCUUGUUGUGGGUUUUCACGGUUCUUGUUGUGUAGUUGUCCUAUUAAAACCAUGGACACUUACCACACUGCGUUUUGGUCCGCCUCUCCUUCACAGGAAGAAAACCGUGACAAGCAGUGACUACUUUUGGCAUAACAUUAUCUAACAGCUGUACAAAUAGCAAUGAAGCCUAUUUGACAUUACCCUCUUGUAAAGCAGUUCAGGAAAGAGUUGCAGGCCUCUAUAUAUAUAUAUAUAUAUAUAUAUAGAUAUAUUGAAAAGUGCAGAUACUUUAGCAAAUACCAGAAUAAUGGCCUAAAUGAAACACUGUAGGUGUUUGUGUAAUCAAAAAUACUGUUGCUAUUUUGGAAAUGUAACAGGAAGUGUUAGGCUGGUGUAAAAAACACAUCAGGUUGGUCUUUGACUUCAGACCUGCAUAUUGGUACAUACUUAUUUCAAGUGUUUAUCCGGUCAGAGGACUAACCUGAAGUUGGAGCUACACACCAUGAUGAUCAGAUUCGGGGUUGUUGUGGUAAUAAUCAGUACAAUAUGUGUGUCAAAAUGCAACAAUGUUCAGCGGCAUGUUGAAGUUCAGGGGGUUCAAAUUGGUGACCCAGUGACACUCUACUGUGUUUUCUCAAAUCAAGUAUACAAUGAGGGAAACAUGUUCUGGUUUAAGCAAAUAACAGGGGAAAUCCCUCAAGUUGUUGCAAGAAUGCAUACAUUUCAACCCAGGCCUGAACUGUACAAGGAAUUUAACAAUUCACAACUCAAUGUGGAGAGGGCUGAAGCUGACGGGAUAUACCGUCUUACCGUUCCAAAGAUGGAACCAAUGUAUGAAGCUAUUUACUAUUGUGCAAGUAGGACAGACUAUGAAGUGAACUUGAUCCAAGGAACAUUUUUAGUAAAAGAAGGUAAGAAUCACCAGAUGUCUGAUUACAAGACCGAGGUACAGAGGUCAGUGUCUGACCCAUUCCACCCAGGAGUGCACAGGGCUCUCUGAGACCUGUACAGGAGAACACAGUGUGUACUGGUUCAGAGCGAGAUCAGGAG